rnacentral:miRNA from 1 species
GACGUCGAUAUUCGACGUCAUAAACACAAUCAACUUUGGUGUUUAUGAUGUCGAUAUUCGACGUCAUAAACACGAUCAGCGUUGCUGUUGAUGACGCCCAUAUUCGACGUCAUAAACACGAUCAACUUUGGUGUUUAUGACGUCGAUAUACGACGUCAUAAACACGAUCAACUUUGGUGUUUAUGACGAUCAACAUAGGGACACGAUCAACUUUGGUGUUUAUGACGUCGACGUCAUAAACACGAUCAACUUUGGUGUUUAUGACGUCGAUAUUCGACGUC